CCUGUGGAUCGUUAUAUAAACGAAAGUAGUUUUUUAAACGAAAUCGGACGGGAUGAAGCAGGAA
ncrna:unclassified sequences RAGATH-18 RNA